AUGGCGUGAGGCGUUGUAUACUGACGGAUUAAAGUGAGUCAUACCCAUAUACAAGGUGAGACAUCUGUCACGACUAAGUGUAAGAAGUUUUAACCAGUUCUAUAAAAGUUCUAUAGAAACUUUAUAUGAAAUAGAAUAAGUUUUUAUUUAUCAUAUUAUUCUUUUUUUUUCAAUUUUCAAAAAUAUCCAAACAAUUGCUUUAUUAGAAAAAGUAACAAUUAAAUCAAACAAUUAGAUCUUACAAUGUUAAGAUACUAUAAUAUAGAUUUCUCAAGAAAUUUAUUAUCGCAUCUUAUUCAAAAUACAGGAAACAAUAUUUCACAGUUGAUGGCAACACGUUCCGAUACGUAUCUUCAAGCCCAUUCAAAUUAUAAUUCAAUAAAAUUUGAACAAUAACACUUCUUUAAGUGCAUUGACCUUUUAGACCGUUAUCCUUUUGUUUCAUCCGAUGCACUUUUCCUCAAUGGUACGUCUUCUUCGAUUUGUUUUCAAUUCAAUAUUUUAUUUACAACGUAAUAAUAAAUUGCAUCGAAUUAAGUUACAGAGCUGGUUGAUUCAUCGUAUAACUGGCCACCGAUGUGCGAAACAAGAUACACCGGUGAGAUUUUACAAAUAGAACGAGACACGAAACAGCCAUUUCGUCCCGAGAACGUUAAUUGUACCGUUGCUUUGAACGAGGCCUGAGACGAUGUGGAGCGAACAACAACUGCUCAUUUCUCUCUUCAUUUCAGAUACAUACAUACGCUCUUCGUGUAUUUUUCCUUUCUUUUUCCUCUCCUCUCUCUUUUUUAUUCUUUUUUUUUUUUAUUGUUCACGAUCUCGGCAAACGAGAAACAAAUAUCUCGAUAUCUUUCGUCGCAAUAAGAUGGCACAGGUCAACUGAGAAGUGGUAAUAGACGAUAAAUUGAAAUUAAUGCCUCCGCUCUUGGCCGUGCUUCAAUGUUGUUUCAAUGUUGCACACGAACGUAGAAAUAGAGCCGGAUUAACGCAAAGUCGUUUCUUUAUCUCCCGUGACUUUGUUUGCAGUUUCAGAUAAUAUUUCGAGCUUCGUUCGAGAGAUAUAACGAUCGGUUAAAAAAUUAUUGUCAAUAAAAAUGAAAUGAAUCAUAUAUUUGCAAAUAUUUGUAUACCGUGCACGAGGUGUUUGAAAAAAUAGAAAAAAAAUGUGAAUAAAUAGUAGAAUAAAAAAAAAUUUUUCUUGGGAGGGGGGAAAGAAUUAUCGUAUCCAAUUUAUCGAAUGAGUAAAUUUCUUAAUAAGAGACUGUUGUGGUUUUUUGUUAUUAUUUCGUGAAACGAUAAAAUACAAAAUAUUAUUUUUGAAGAAUCAUGUUCAAUUUACUCGAUGCACAAAUUUUUUUUUAGUAUAUUAUAGAAGAUUAUAUAUUUUACACGUUCUUUAAUGUUACUCCUUUUAUUUAAGUAUUAUAAUAAAAUCUGGGAUAUUCCGUGAAACUUGAAAUUGAUCGAACGUAUCAAACAUUGUGUGUGUAUAUAAGAAAAGUUUUCAUGUUAGUUCAACUUUUAAACUAUCCUUGACCCCUUGUUCAUUAUUUAAGUUUUUAUUCGAAUAUGCAUUCGUGUUAGUAAAUAUUUGAAAAGAACACGCGUAUAUUAAAUUUCGAAAGAUCAAAGGACAUCAUAUUUUCUGUUUUCAUAAUAUAAUUAAUUAUGAUGUAAAAGUGCGUAUAACUAUAUUUUAUUGCGUCGGAUGAUGAAAUAUAUCGAGUUUCUGAAAACCGUCUAUCUUCAUCGAAUUUUGCGAAGUCAGUUAGUUAUAUCUUUCAUUUUAACUAAGCAGUAAGUGGUUCCAAACGAUCAAAGUUAGAUACAUGUCGCUAAAGGUUUCUAUUUCACAUGUAUUCAAAUACAUGUAUAUCGAAACGUAAUGGGAGCCGAGAUUUAAAUUCUGUAAUUUUUAUUACAUUUGUGCAUUUCUAUUACAUGUGUACACGUGUAUUACAAAGAUAUUCUGAUGAUAUAAAGAUAUAAAUGAAAUACAAGGUACCUCACGUGAUAUUUACCUUUUGGAUGAUUCUGAAAUAAUCCAGGUCUUUCUGGAAACUUUUCAAAAUUUUGUAUUCCUACUUAUCUCUAUAAUAUUGAAUUAUGUAAAUUAAGAAAAAAAAAUUGAAAAUUAUUCAAUUAAUAUGAUCGGGAUAAGAGAUAAUUUGUAAACCGUGUAAAAUAUCCAAUAAUAACAAUGAAGGAAUCAAUUUGUAGAUACAGUUAUUUGUAUGAUUCAAAAAAUCUGAGAAAAAAAAUAUAUGAAUCUCAAUAUCAAUAAACAAUCAUAAUAAAGCUCAUAAUAAAACUUUUUUUUUUAUAAACAUUUACACAAGUGUGUCAUUAAUGAAUUGACGCAAAUCGUACAUUCUCAAAUUACGUUGUUUCAUAUUCUUUAUCGUACAUGAAUUUUUUAUUCUAUCAUUAUAUUGAUUCAGCUAAAUAAUUUAGUUAUUAGCAAAAUGUCGCGAUAAAAGAAUAAACUCACUUUAUAUUAAAAUAAAAAAAAAAUUACUAAACUUACGUUUAUUAAAUAUUUGUGUGCAAUUGGUACAUCUUACAAAAUUUUUAUAUAACCCUUGUACAAGUAAUUCCCAAGAAUAAAUCUUGUAACUAUUAAUUACAAUUAUUAAUAAAAUCAUAUAUUGAAUAUCAAGAAACAAACGAGCAUAGAUGCCAACAUCUCAACUACUAUAAUUUAUUUCUUCUAAUACCGCAAUAUAAUCUUUCCAUAAAAAUUUAAAUUAUUCCAACGAAAAAGAUACUACUACUCAUACUUCUUUACGUACAUUUAAUUAUUCCUCAAUAAGGGACAACCAUGAAUCUACAAAUCCAUCAAGAAAUUACUCAUAUUCUCCAUAAUUUAAUCCGACCUCGUUACACCACCAAUCCACCAUCUGACGUCGCAAAAUCGCGAAGAUCACGAAACAACAACAACACAACUUUUCAUGGAAAUCGCGCAGUUACACAUAAUUCCAUCAACAAACGUACGCUACGUCUCAUAGCCGAACGAAAUUCAACGAAUUCAGACGAAAUCGAAAAAAAAAAGAAAUGACUCGUCCAUGAAGUGUAUCGCUACGUUCAAGAACCGGGUUCCCCACACACCGAAUGAAAGCAACGUCUGCGCUCGCAUCAAUGACACGCGCUAUACUCUCGCCGCUAUACUCUCGGCCCGGUAAAACUGGCUGCCGUGGGUUAGACAGCGUGCAGAAGCGAGAAUCGCGUCAGUCCGCGGCGAGUUCUCCGUGUGGGAGCUGCGCUCUCUUGGUGUCGUCGUGCGAGGGUUGUUUGCGAUCGAACGCGCACAGAUCGAUCUCCCGUUUCACAGAGGAGCAGCGAAAGCUUGUAUCGCGUAAACGGCAGGACGAGUGAAUUGAUCUUCAGUUUUGUGAAAGGAACAGUGAAAAUAAAGAACCGUCAAGACGCAGCGUGUCGAUAGCCACAUUCAGUCCAGAGGUAUGAAAAAUUCAUUGUUAAGAAAGUCCAUGGAAAUAUUAAAAUGAACAAUUCUCGCGAAACAAACGACUGAACAGCUUGACUAUUGAAAACACUUUCUAAAAAGGCAAAGCUAUUUAUACGUUUACCAAUAAUCGUUUCCCUCUAUGAAGAGACAGAUAAGAAAAAGAAUUAAUAAUCGUAAUUGUGAUAAAACGGAUCGAUAGGAAAUAUUGAUUUAUCAGUCAUUGAUCCGGAUACGGGUAAAUCGAUCGUUCUAAACAGGAAUUAAAAAUAUCAUGGACAUAUAUCGCCAUGAUAAACAGGGACGCACGCUUGAAAGUGGUCAAACAGGAUUUUCAUGGUACUAUAAUUUUUCGCCGAUGUUGCCAAUUAUCACGAUAUACACAAUGUAUCUGAAAAUCGUGGUGAUUUAUUUCGCGAAUUAAUGAAAUACUCGAUAUCGUCAAACCUGUAUCAUUACUUAUGCUGCGAUUAAAAAAAAAAAAAAUAGAAAAAAAAUUUUUUUUACAUCGAAGAAUAUUCCAACGAAUAAUGUAUAAAAAAUGGGAAACAUUUCUGAUUCUGAGGGCGUGAAUCGAUACAAUAUGAAUGCAUAAUCGUGAUUGGUCGUAGACACGGAAAUAUUUCAAUUGCAAAAUGGCUAAUUAGCAAUCUUGAACAUAUUUUUUUUCAUAUAUACCUUGUUUUUACCAUUUUUCCAAUGAAAUAACUGGCUCAUAAAUAUUAUUGUUCUUUUUUUUUCUUGCAGAAACUAUCUAUCUGUCUAUCUUAAAAAUUAUUAUUAACAUGGUUACAUAUGGUUUGAUUGAAUGCACGUGAUUAUUGGCGCAUCUCUUGUGUCUCACGUGUCUUUAAUUAGGAAUAUACCACGAACAUGACGCAUCUUUGAUUUUAUUGAAUAAAAAAAAAAGAGAAUGGAGAAGAUGCUGAAAAAAUAGAUAGUUUCGAUAGAAGUUCUAAAGAUGAAACUUCAAAUUUUAGAAUGCCAUUAGAAACGUGAUAUAUUAUUUAACUUGAUUUCUGAUAAGUUGGAUAAAUUAUCUGCAAAUUUA